rnacentral:tRNA from 1 species
AGAGAGGUGGCCGAGCGGUCGAAGGCGCACGCCUGGAAAGUGUGUAUCCGCCUAACGGCGGAUCGAGGGUUCGAAUCCCUUCCUCUCUGCUA